rfam:Schistosoma mattheei strain Denwood, Zambia genome assembly, scaffold: SMTD_scaffold0010819
AUCCGGCUGACAAGUCCUAAAUAGGAUGAAACGCACGUCCUGGAU